AACGCUGAGGUGUGAUGACGAGGCACUACGGUGCUGAAGUGACAAAUGCCCUGCUUCCAGGAAAAGCCUCUAAGCAUCAGGUAACAUCAAAUCGUACCCCAAACCGACACAGGUGGUCAGGUAGAGAAUACCAAGGCGCUUGAGAGAACUCGGGUGAAGGAACUAGGCAAAAUGGUGCCGUAACUUCGGGAGAAGGCACGCUGAUAUGUAGGUGAAGUGGUUUACCCAUGGAGCUGAAAUCAGUCGAAGAUACCAGCUGGCUGCAACUGUUUAUUAAAAACACAGCACUGUGCAAACACGAAAGUGGACGUAUACGGUGUGACGCCUGCCCGGUGCCGGAAGGUUAAUUGAUGGGGUUAUCCGUAAGGAGAAGCUCUUGAUCGAAGCCCCGGUAAACGGCGGCCGUAACUAUAACGGUCCUAAGGUAGCGAAAUUCCUUGUCGGGUAAGUUCCGACCUGCACGAAUGGCGUAAUGAUGGCCAGGCUGUCUCCACCCGAGACUCAGUGAAAUUGAACUCGCUGUGAAGAUGCAGUGUACCCGCGGCAAGACGGAAAGACCCCGUGAACCUUUACUAUAGCUUGACACUGAACACUGGUCCUUGAUGUGUAGGAUAGGUGGGAGGCUUUGAAGUGUGGACGCCAGUCUGCAUGGAGCCAUCCUUGAAAUACCACCCUUUAAUGGCUGGUGUUCUAACGUGGGCCCCUAAUCGGGGUUGCGGACAGUGUCUGGUGGGUAGUUUGACUGGGGCGGUCUCCUCCUAAAGAGUAACGGAGGAGCACGAAGGUCAGCUAAUCCUGGUCGGACAUCAGGAGGUUAGUGCAAUGGCAUAAGCUGGCUUGACUGCGAGCGUGACGGCGCGAGCAGGUGCGAAAGCAGGUCAUAGUGAUCCGGUGGUUCUGAAUGGAAGGGCCAUCGCUCAACGGAUAAAAGGUACUCCGGGGAUAACAGGCUGAUACCGCCCAAGAGUUCAUAUCGACGGCGGUGUUUGGCACCUCGAUGUCGGCUCAUCACAUCCUGGGGCUGAAGUAGGUCCCAAGGGUAUGGCUGUUCGCCAUUUAAAGUGGUACGCGAGCUGGGUUUAGAACGUCGUGAGACAGUUCGGUCCCUAUCUGCCGUGGGCGCUGGAGAAUUGAGGGGGGCUGCUCCUAGUACGAGAGGACCGGAGUGGACGCAUCACUGGUGUUCGGGUUGUCAUGCCAAUGGCAUUGCCCGGUAGCUAAAUGCGGAAGAGAUAAGUGCUGAAAGCAUCUAAGCACGAAACUUGCCCCGAGAUGAGUUCUCCCUGACUCCUUGAGAGUCCUGAAGGAACGUUGAAGACGACGACGUUGAUAGGCCGGGUGUGUAAGCGCAGCGAUGCGUUGAGCUAACCGGUACUAAUGAACCGUGAGGCUUAACCUUACAACGCCGAAG
rnacentral:rRNA from 1 species